AGAAACUUUGUCAAGAAGAUAGGACUUUAUGGAUGAGGAAAAAGAGAAGGCUACACAGUCACCACGGCUCUGGGCAUGACUGCAUUUUUGAUAUAUGAGUUCUGGCCUCAUUCCUUCAGAGCAGGCUUCACCACAUACCUGAUUGUGAUUGUGGCACCUGGACCUGAUACAACAGACCUGAGUCCCUGUCUCAACUGCCCACCCAGCCGGUCACCCUUCUCUGGCCUCUGCAUCUGACCCUGAGUUUCCUGGGCCGCCCACCUACCCAUGCUGGACUCUGAACUUUGUGUACACAAGGGUCACUGAGAAGUGGACACCGUCACAGUGGACUGUGGAAGAGAGGGGUCGGCUGGUGGAUUUGUGGAGAGGAAGAAGACAGAGGUCACUGAUAGGGAGAAAGACAAAU